GUGCUUGCUUUGGCAGCACAUAUACUAAAUGUUGGAAUGAUACAGAGAUUAGCAUGGCCCUGCGCAUGAAUGACAUGCAAAUUCAUGAAGCGUUCCAUAUUUUU